GGGCAUGUACAAAAAUUGAUGAUCUAAUUCUUUUCCUCUAAAUUUGAUAUCUAGGGGUCGUAGAAACGUCUUUUCCUCUAUUUGUCCUGAAACUCCUACCACCCAUGCAGUUGAAUCACUUAAUGGCCCCAUCAAUUUAUUCAUUGCCGAGAAACUAGCUCCAGUAUCUAUUCUAAAUUCUGUCGGCUCUCCCUCUACUUCUAAAACAACUUUUAAGUCUGAAUCUA